UGGUAGACUUAUCCUCUUCAUUUCUUCCUCCUUCUCACUCUGAAAUGGAGAAAACCAUACAAACCCCAGCCAGAUGAAUACUCCAGGAGGAUUACUCGAUCCCAACGUACGCCAAUCAAAUCACAAAAACCAGCUGCAAAGGAGAAAUAUGCUUGUAAAUGAAUGAUAGUCAAAUGAAAAUUAUCAGUAAAAUAAAGAUGAUAUUGAAGAAGAAGAAGAUGUAAGAAGACAAGUACAGAUCGUUUGACUGGACAUAUAAAUACAAUUGAAUUUAAUUUAAAUCUGUGUUUACGAAGAAGAUGGUGUGAGAUGUGAUGAAUUUUAAGCUGAAUCUAUAGUUUAAUUGAUAUUGUCAAGAUGCUCCACUUAAAAGACUACUGAUUUUUUGGUUUUUCAGUAUUGUUGUUAAAGGAGUUGUUCGCAAGAAGAAUGUUUCCAACCGGCGGAUGACUUCAAAAAUUGAGAAGCCUCGUUUUCUUAUCCUUGGCGGAGCUCUUGAGUAUCAACGGGUGUCUAAUCAUUUAUCAAGUUUUGAUACUCUACUGCAGCAGGAAACAGAUCAUUUGAAGAUGGCAGUAGCAAAGAUAGUUGCUCAUCAUCCCAAUGUCUUACUGGUAGAAAUCAGUUCACGUUUCACUCAAGAAUACCUCUUUCAAGAAAACAUCUCUUGUUCUCAAUAUCAAGAGGCCUUUGUUAGAGCGCGUGUGGCACGCUGCACAGGUGCACAAAUAGUUCCUUCAAUUGAUCAUCUUUCCACUCAAAAGCCGGGUUAUUGUGAAGCAUUCCACGUGGAGAAGUUCCUUGAAGCACAUGGGAGCGCUGGGCAGGGAGGAAAGAAAUUGGUGAAGACACUUUAUGUUUUUUGAAGGGAGCCUCAAGCCAUUUGGUUGUACUGUUCAAUAAAAUGGUCGCUUGCUUUGGAUAUGCAUCGAUGGAUGUUCACUCAGUAUACCUUCCACCCUCAAAACUUGAUUUCAGCUACGAAAAUCCAGAAUGGUUACAGAUAGAGGUCAAUCAGGAGUCUAUACAAAAAUGUACGGAGGAGUCUGCAAGUGGUGCAGAAAAGCUUGUAUCAACAAACUCAAAUUCCAAGCAAAGCGGUAAAGAUUCUCCCAGUGAUAAAAAGUGCAAGCUAGAUGGAAACAGUGAGCAGGUGGAUUCUUCACAGAUCAUAACACCACAGGGUCCAGGCCACAUCUUUUAUCAAGCUUAAGUUCAAAUGCCCCGACCAAUCCUUUGGAGACUGAAAAUACAUGUGGGAGGGCAAUCUCAGAGGAUCAGUUUCCGAUUGUAGCGAACCUUGAUGCAGCAUGGACUAGUAAAAACAUGCCAGGGAGUACGAUACUGGAAUUAACGGUGAAGUGGCAGCAGAUUCAUUAACCCAAGGCAAAACUCAUAUGAAGUUGUUAAAGUUGGAAAAGCGUUUCGAAGACCUGGGUAUGGCUGAGGUCACUGAAUCUCAUCAUCCCGUGAAAGGAGCAGAUAACUCAGACGACAACAACACGGGUUGGAUUAGGAUGCCUCUGGGUGGUUUAUGAUUCAUUGAAUCUUCUUCAGUCGUUUCAUUCUUUCGAUGAAACAGAAGCCUCUGAAUCGUUUAGAAAUCUUGGGUCUAUGGAUAGUAGCAUUUUAUCCAUGUCUGGUCCUUGGAGCUCUUUGAUUCCAGUCCGCUCAAGGCGUUGCUUGUUAGAGUGGCAUUCAGCGACAAUGGUCCAUUUGGAAGGUGAAGUAUGUGCAAAGGGGUUUGAAGCCUUAAGGAGGACAUCUGAGCUAGAUUUCGUAAGGUCCCUGAAUCUCAGGGUGGUAAGAGCAACACCUAUUUUACUAAACCACUGGACGAUCAGUUUAUCAUUAAAGGGUUAACGAAGAGAGAAAUAUGGUCAUUUAUCAAGUUUGCAGCAGCGUAUUUGAAGUUUUUAUCUGAAUCGAUGGCAACAAGAUGCACAACUUGCCUGGCAAAGAUUUUGGGGAUCUACCAGGGGGGACUUGAUUGGAUUUCAUGGUUCCCUGUUUCAAAUUGAAUGCACUCGGAGAACGCUGGACUGAAGCCCGGUGAUCCGUCUUGAUGAAACCUUUCCUGUUGCGGUCCCUAUCCAGAAUACGAUUCAGCAAAUGAUGAAGAUCGUUCUCCUUGGGCCUGGUAAUAAUGCAAUCCCCUGGUACCUUGACAGUAUUAGCGAGGAAGUCUGGGCAUAGUUGAAAAGCUGAAGUGAUUCCAGUUCCAACGGCCAUUCGAAUUGGUUAUCUGUGCCUGAAUCCUCUGCAUUAUCUUUUGAUACAACACUAGAUAUUUCUUCUCAUACAAAUCCAAUUUUACUAGUGCUUCCAUGUCAUGAAUGUGAGGUCUUAGUCUUUUAUCCAUCAAGAUCUUAAUGACAAAUCUGUUAUCUGUUGUAAUGGUAACCAAUCUCUUGACUUGCUCUUUCUACUGCUAACAACUCAUAAAAGUCAAUAUCUUCAUUUGGGUCA